AGCGAACGCUGGCGGCAGGCUUAACACAUGCAAGUCGAACGGGCACUUCGGUGUCAGUGGCAGACGGGUGAGUAACACGUGGGAACGUACCUCUUGGUUCGGAACAACACAGGGAAACUUGUGCUAAUACCGGAUAAGCCCUUACGGGGAAAGAUUUAUCGCCGAGAGAUCGGCCCGCGUCUGAUUAGCUAGUUGGUAGGGUAAUGGCCUACCAAGGCGACGAUCAGUAGCUGGUCUGAGAGGAUGAUCAGCACAUUGGGACUGAGACACGGCCCAAACUCCUACGGGAGGCAGCAGUGGGGAAUAUUGGACAAUGGGGGCAACCCUGAUCCAGCCAUGCCGCGUGAGUGAUGAAGGCCCUAGGGUUGUAAAGCUCUUUUGUGCGGGAAGAUAAUGACGGUACCGCAAGAAUAAGCCCCGGCUAACUUCGUGCCAGCCGCCGCAGUAACAC
rnacentral:rRNA from 1 species